UGAAUGCGAAGAACUGGUUCGGUGGCUUGCUUACCUUUGCAUACCCCAGCAUGAUCAUUCGGACCAGCACAACAUUUAUGUGAACGCCCAAGGAUUCAUCGUGGUAAAUUUCAUUCACUAUGUUCAUGAGGGUGAGGAGGUAGUUUUGAACAUGUUCUUUGCCAUGGAACCGGACGACAGAGUCGUCCACACCUAGCAGCACCUCAAUGUUGUAGUCGUCAUCUCCUGCGUGCCUGCGUCGCCUCAGGGUUUCAUUCAGUUGCUGUUCUACACUGCUGUACAGGGAACUCAGGUCUCCAAGGCCCCCAAGAAGAGAUUCUUCAGUGUGGACAUCAGGGAGCAUAUCAGUGAUAUGUUGCACUAUAGCUGAUCGCCUGUACACCAUAUGGAUUCUUCCCUUUUCUUCUUCCAUUUGUUUUCCUCUUUCCAAAGGCUCAAUGAAGUAUUCAUCCUCAUCAGUUCUUAUCAUACCAGCCAGACCAUCACAAUUGCUAAUUGCAACAGAAGCUCCAGGGAUGUCAGUUAUGUCUCCCACGUAAGCGCAGUUGGUCCACAGGGGCUCUCUUUUCCACAACCUCUCCGUAGCAGUUCUAGUCUGACUUGAGUUACCAGCAUCGUUUCCAUUUCCAGUUUCCACAGAGUCUUCGUACCACUCCACAACUGCCUCAGGAGCCACUAAACGAGUGUUGGGUUUCAGCCGGAGAUGGAAUUCCCUUCCAAACGCGGUGACGUUAAAAUACAGCUGUUUGGGGCUCUGGGAUACCUCCCGCGUUGAUCUUCUUUGAUGGCUUGCAGAGAGUACAUUGGAGAUAUAGCUUCCGUCUGCAUUGGUACUAAUUGGAAUCACUAACCCAUACGGCCUUGGUCUGCUUUUUGGUAAUUCUAUUUGGAUCUGUUGUUCUUCACCAGCCUGCCGGCCGGCUGCAGCGCGGGCCCCCAGGAGCGCGGCUGCCACUACCCACAGGGGCAGGAGCACCAUCACGAGCCGGCCGCCCGCGGACCGCCGCCCCGCGCGACCGCACGCUCCCGGCCCCGGCCGCGCUCUUCCUCUCCUCCUCCGUUCGCCUUCUUCUCCGGCUCUCUCUCCCUGCGAGCCCCCGCCUCGGCCGUCCCCGGGCUGCAGCACCCCGCUAGCGCCGGCGCCCCGGGGCCGGCGGCCGGGCGGGCUGGGCGCGAGCGGCGGUGGGGCGGCGAGCGACCGCGCCGCCUCCUGUUGCUCGCUGCGCCCUGCCUGCGCCACGCAUCGCGACCUGCGGCGCUAAUAAAGCCGCACCGGCCCCCGGGCGCGGCCCCGCCUUCGGCACGGCUCGGCACACCGACGUCAGGGCCGCCCAGCCGCCAGCGGCCGCCGGAGCCGCACCUGGGCCGGCCCGGGGCUCCGCCGCCCCCUCACAAAGGACGCGCCCCGAGCGGCCCGCCGAGGGGAGCGGGCGCGGGGCAGGUGCAGCGCGAGCCCGGGCAGCGCCUCAGGCCGCUGACAGGGCCGCAGUCCCGCGCCACAAAGAGCCGCGUCCCGGCCCGGGUGGAAACCCUAACUAACCCCCUCCCAGCGGCCUUCCCCGCGCAAAUCCCGCCGGGAGCUCUCCCUGUCCCGUACGUUCGCCUGGCAGAUGUGACGCCGUUGAGGCUCAGCAAGGAGAAGCCACGAACGGGCGAAAGCGGGGGUAUCCCCAAGGGGAGAAGCGAGCGAAAAGCUUUACGGAUGCUUUUUACUUGUAAACAAAUAUCCAGGGGGGAUAAAGAGCUCCCGCGUUCCUGCACUGCAGCAGUACUCAAAAGACG
rnacentral:lncRNA from 1 species